UUAACUAGGAUUAGAUACCCUAUUAUUAAGAAAAAUUAUAUUGUUAGUAUAUAAAUUGUAUGAAAACAAAAAAUUAUGGCGGUAUUUUAAGCUUUUCAGAGGAAUUUGCUCUUUAAUGGAUAAAACACCUAAAUCUUACUAAAUUUAGUUAAACAGUUUGUAUACCACUAUUUAAGUAAUAAUUUGCUAUUAUUACUAAAAUUUAUAUUAAUUAAAAAAAGUUAAGUCAAGGUGCAGCAUAAAUUUUAGUAUGAAGUGAAUUACAUUUCUUUUAAGAAAAAUUUGUUGAAAAUAAAAUUUAGGAUU
rnacentral:rRNA from 1 species